UUUCUCAUUUAAAAAAAGCAGCAUAUGAAACAAAAACAGCUCCUUAUAAAAAAAAUAUACACGUUACAAUCAGGUAGCUUUGUGUAGCCCUUGACGUCCAGCUGUCAGAGCAACAGCUGGUGCUUCGGACAAUUGGUUCUCUAUUUGGUCUUUUGUUUUUUAGUACAAAGCAGGAAUCACGGUCUGGCUGAAAUGGGCUCGUGAAGGAAUAGCGUAACAGGGCUCAAUUACUUUAACCAUGUUCGUAAAACCUGCAUUUUCCACUACAGAGUAGGGUCUCGUAUCCGCAGCUAUAAAUGUACCAAUCGCCGCAGUGAUGUCUUUUGCCCUGUUUGAAUCAGUUGGAAAUUGCUGCUUAUAUGCUGUGUUAAUGUU